AUCACCUGGGUAUCUUGUUAAAAUGUAGAUUCUGUCUCAGUUGGUCUGAGGUGGACCUGAGAAUCUGCAUUUCUUACAAGUUCCCAGGUGAUGC
rnacentral:miRNA from 1 species